rnacentral:miRNA from 1 species
UCAGCAGUUGAGUCAUUGUCAUG